rnacentral:rRNA from 1 species
GGAUUCCCCUAGUAACGGCGAGUGAAGCGGGAUGAGCUCAAAUUUAAAAUCUGGCUGGUUUACUAGUCCGAAUUGUAGUUUAUAGAAGCGUUUUCGGUGGCAGCCUGGGUAUAAAUCCUUUGGAAUAGGGUAUCAUAGAGGGUGAGAAUCCCGUCUUUGACUCAGUGCAUGCUACUAUGUGAUACGUUUUCAAAGAGUCGAGUUGUUUGGGAAUGCAGCUCAAAAUGGGUGGUAAAUUUCAUCUAAAGCUAAAUAUUGGCGAGAGACCGAUAGCGAACAAGUACCGUGAGGGAAAGAUGAAAAGAACUUUGAAAAGAGAGUUAAACAGUGCGUGAAAUUGUUGAAAGGGAAACGUUUGACACCAGUUAUGCGGGUGGAAAAUCAGUCUUUUGCAAUAGGGAGUUGUGGGCGUUCAGACCGCAAGGCUGGCGUUUGCUUCAUCUUUGUUGUAAGUGAUGCACUUUUUCAUUUGCAGGUCAACAUCAGUUUGCUCUGCUGGACAAAACUCCAAGGGAAGGUGGCAGCUUAGGCUGUGUUAUAGCCCUGGAGCGAUACAGUGGGGUGGACUGAGGUUUCGCAGUGUGUGCUCUCGGGCAAGGCUGACUGGGUGCUAUGGGAUUGUUCGGCGUACAAUGCAUGCAUUUUGCGUCGUGUCUUUUUCAUACUCGCUCAACUCGGCUCUUCCACGCUUAGGAUGUUGACUUAAUGGUUUUAAACGACCCGUCUUGAAACACGGACC